rnacentral:rRNA from 7 species
GUCCGGAAUUACUGGGCGUAAAGAGCUCGUAGGUGGUUUGUCGCGUUGUUCGUGAAAACUCACAGCUCAACUGUGGGCGUGCGGGCGAUACGGGCAGACUGGAGUACUGCAGGGGAGACUGGAAUUCCUGGUGUAGCGGUGGAAUGCGCAGAUAUCAGGAGGAACACCGGUGGCGAAGGCGGGUCUCUGGGCAGUAACUGACGCUGAGGAGCGAAAGCGUGGGGAGCGAACAGGAUUAGAUACCCUGGUAGUCCACGCCGUAAACGGUGGGUACUAGGUGUGGGUUUCCUUCCUUGGGAUCCGUGCCGUAGCUAACGCAUUAAGUACCCCGCCUGGGGAGUACGGCCGCAAGGCUAAAACUCAAAGAAAUUGACGGGGGCCCGCACAAGCGGCGGAGCAUGUGGAUUAAUUCGAUGCAACGCGAAGAACCUUACCUGGGUUUGACAUGCACAGGACGUGCCUAGAGAUAGGUAUUCCCUUGUGGCCUGUGUGCAGGUGGUGCAUGGCUGUCGUCAGCUCGUGUCGUGAGAUGUUGGGUUAAGUCCCGCAACGAGCGCAACCCUUAUCUUAUGUUGCCAGCGCGUAAUGGCGGGGACUCGUGAGAGACUGCCGGGGUCAACUCGGA